AGCAAAGGUCAGAUCCUCUGAUUGUGAAACCUAGGUUCUUUCCUCUGGACAACUUUUUCUACUUCACAAAGCAAGUGACCCCUGAGCUGAGCCUUAAAGGAAGAUAUGGAUUCCGCCAGUCAUCAAAGUCUGGUGGAAGGACAAAAAUCAAGGAGACUGGUGGUGACCCAGGAUACAGUGGAUGACCUUGAAGACUUUGGUGUCUGACCAGGCUCUAAGUGCUCUACAAUACCUGCCUCAGCCACCUUCAUGGCCAUUGGGAAAAAAGUCUUCUAAUUCACCCAUUCUGCCAAAGGGAAGUCUUCACAUGCUUGGGGUAGACACCUCCCCCACCCCAAAUCACUGAUGGGUUUGAAGUUCAUUGGUUACCCCUGUGUGGGCUGCCACUCAAAUUAAAGAACACAUAGAGGUAUCCAA